UACGGAGGGGGCUAGCGUUGUUCGGAAUUACUGGGCGUAAAGCGCACGUAGGCGGCUUUGCACGUUAGAGGUGAAAGCCCGGGGCUCAACCCCGGAAUUGCCUUUAAAACUGCAUCGCUAGAAUUGUGGAGAGGUAAGUGGAAUUCCGAGUGUAGAGGUGAAAUUCGUAGAUAUUCGCAAGAACACCAGUGGCGAAGGCGGCUCACUGGCCCGAUACUGACGCUGAGGCACGAAAGCGUGGGGAGCAAACAGG
rnacentral:rRNA from 1 species